AUUGAACGCUGGCGGCAGGCCUAACACAUGCAAGUCGAACGAGUGGCGGACGGGUGAGUAAUGUCUGGGAAACUGCCUGAUGGGGGGGGAUAACUACUGGAAACGGUAGCUAAUACCGCAUACCAUCGGAUGUGCCCAGAUGGGAUUAGCUAGUAGGUGGGGUAACGGCUCACCUAGGCGACGAUCCCUAGCUGGUCUGAGAGGAUGACCAGCCACACUGGAACGGAGACACGGUCCAGACUCCGACGGGAGGCAGCAGUGGGGAAGAUUGCACAAUGGGCGCAAGCCUGAGGCAGCCAUGCCGCGUGUAUGAAGAAGGCCUUCGGGUUGUAAAGUACGUUCAGCGGGGAGGCGUUACCCGCAGAAGAAGCACCGGCUAACUCCGUGCCAGCAGCCGCGGUAAUUC
rnacentral:rRNA from 1 species